CAAGAAUAUAGGAAGUAGAAACUACUGACGGUGAAACUACUCCUACAAUAGAUACUGAAGGCUACACAAAUGCCCCUGUUCAAACUACUUCAGAAGAGUCAGCUAUCCUAGAACCAAAGCCGACUAUCCCAGAUGACAAGGCUGGUAUUCCCAGAGAAAGGAGACAUAAUGCUAGCUAUCAAAACGACUUCAUCAUGGGAAAACCAAAUGAUUCGCUGCAAACCAG
rnacentral:lncRNA from 1 species